rnacentral:rRNA from 1 species
GAUGAACGCUAGCUACAGGCUUAACACAUGCAAGUCGAGGGGCAGCAUGUCGGUUGCUUGCAACCGAUGAUGGCGACCGGCGCACGGGUGAGUAACGCGUAUCCAACCUACCCUUGUCCAUCGGAUAACCCGUCGAAAGGCGGCCUAACACGAUAUGCGGUUCACAGCAGGCAUCUAAGGUGAACGAAAUGUGAAGGAGAAGGAUGGGGAUGCGUCUGAUUAGCUUGUUGGCGGGGUAACGGCCCACCAAGGCGACGAUCAGUAGGGGUUCUGAGAGGAAGGUCCCCCCACAUUGGGAACUGAGACACGGUCCAAAACUCCUACGGGAGGCAGCAGUGAGGAAUAUUGGUCAAUGGACGGGAGUCUGAACCAGCCAAGUAGCGUGCAGGAUGACGGCCCUAUGGGUCGUAAACUGCUUUUAUAGGGGGAUAAAGUGUGCCACGUGUGGCAUAUUGCAGGUACCCUAUGAAUAA